AAUGCUUAGGAAUCUGCCUAUUAGUGGGGGACAACAUUCCGAAAGGAAUGCUAAUACCGCAUACGCCCUACGGGGGAAAGCAGGGGAUCUUCGGACCUUGGGCUAAUAGAUGAGCCUAAGUCAGAUUAGCUAGUUGGUGGGGUAAAGGCCUACCAAGGCGACGAUCUGUAGCGGGUCUGAGAGGAUGAUCCGCCACACUGGGACUGAGACACGGCCCAGACUCCUACGGGAGGCAGCAGUGGGGAAUAUUGGACAAUGGGCGAAAGCCUGAUCCAGCCAUGCCGCGUGUGUGAAGAAGGCCUUUUGGUUGUAAAGCACUUUAAGCGAGGAGGAGGCUACCGAGAUUAAUACUCUUGGAUAGUGGACGUUACUCGCAGAAUAAGCACCGGCUAACUCUGUGCCAGCAGCCGCGGUAAUACAGAGGGUGCGAGCGUUAAUCGGAUUUACUGGGCGUAAAGCGUGCGUAGGCGGCUUUUUAAGUCGGAUGUGAAAUCCCUGAGCUUAACUUAGGAAUUGCAUUCGAUACUGGGAAGCUAGAGUAUGGGAGAGGAUGGUAGAAUUCCAGGUGUAGCGGUGAAAUGCGUAGAGAUCUGGAGG
rnacentral:rRNA from 1 species